UUAACACAUGCAAGUCGAGGGGCAUCAGGCCCCUAGCGUGCUUUCUUUGCUGGCGACCGGCGCACGGGUGAGUAACACGUAUCCAACCUGCCCUUUACUCGGGGAUAGCCUUUCGAAAGAAAGAUUAAUACCCGAUAGCAUAAUGAUUCCGCAUGGUUUCAUUAUUAAAGGAUUCCGGUAAAGGAUGGGGAUGCGUUCCAUUAGGUUGUUGGUGGGGUAACGGCCCACCAAGCCUUCGAUGGAUAGGGGUUCUGAGAGGAAGGUCCCCCACAUUGGAACUGAGACACGGUCCAAACUCCUACGGGAGGCAGCAGUGAGGAAUAUUGGUCAAUGGGCGCUAGCCUGAACCAGCCAAGUAGCGUGAAGGAUGAAGGCUCUAUGGGUCGUAAACUUCUUUUAUAUAAGAAUAAAGUGCAGUAUGUAUACUGUUUUGUAUGUAUUAUAUGAAUAAGGAUCGGCUAACUCCGUGCCAGCAGCCGCGGUAAUACGGAGGAUCCGAGCGUUAUCCGGAUUUAUUGGGUUUAAAGGGAGCGUAGGUGGACUGGUAAGUCAGUUGUGAAAGUUUGCGGCUCAACCGUAAAAUUGCAGUUGAUACUGUCAGUCUUGAGUACAGUAGAGGUGGGCGGAAUUCGUGGUGUAGCGGUGAAAUGCUUAGAUAUCACGAAGAACUCCGAUUGCGAAGGCAGCUCACUGGACUGCAACUGACACUGAUGCUCGAAAGUGUGGGUAUCAAACAGGAUUAGAUACCCUGGUAGUCCACACAGUAAACGAUGAAUACUCGCUGUUUGCGAUAUACAGUAAGCGGCCAAGCGAAAGCAUUAAGUAUUCCACCUGGGGAGUACGCCGGCAACGGUGAAACUCAAAGGAAUUGACGGGGGCCCGCACAAGCGGAGGAACAUGUGGUUUAAUUCGAUGAUACGCGAGGAACCUUACCCGGGCUUAAAUUGCAGUGGAAUGAUGUGGAAACAUGUCAGUGAGCAAUCACCGCUGUGAAGGUGCUGCAUGGUUGUCGUCAGCUCGUGCCGUGAGGUGUCGGCUUAAGUGCCAUAACGAGCGCAACCCUUAUCUUUAGUUACUAACAGGUCAUGCUGAGGACUCUAGAGAGACUGCCGUCGUAAGAUGUGAGGAAGGUGGGGAUGACGUCAAAUCAGCACGGCCCUUACGUCCGGGGCUACACACGUGUUACAAUGGGGGGUACAGAAGGCAGCUAGCGGGUGACCGUAUGCUAAUCCCAAAAGCCUCUCUCAGUUCGGAUCGAAGUCUGCAACCCGACUUCGUGAAGCUGGAUUCGCUAGUAAUCGCGCAUCAGCCACGGCGCGGUGAAUACGUUCCCGGGCCUUGUACACACCGCCCGUCAAGCCAUGGGAGCCGGGGGUACCUGAAGUACGUAACCGCAAGGAUCGUCCUAGGGUAAAACUGGUGACUG
rnacentral:rRNA from 1 species